AUUGAACGCUGGCGGCAGGCUUAACACAUGCAAGUCGAGCGGGGGAAGGUAGCUUGCUACCGGACCUAGCGGCGGACGGGUGAGUAACGCUUAGGAAUCUGCCUAUUAGUGGGGGACAACAUCUCGAAAGGGAUGCUAAUACCGCAUACGUCCUACGGGAGAAAGCAGGGGAUCUUCGGACCUUGCGCUAAUAGAUGAGCCUAAGUCGGAUUAGCUAGUUGGUGGGUAAAGGCCUACCAAGGCGACGAUCUGUAGCGGGUCUGAGAGGAUGAGCCGCCACACUGGGACUGAGACACGGCCCAGACUCCUACGGGAGGCAGCAGUGGGGAAUAUUGGACAAUGGGGGGAACCCUGAUCUAGCCAUGCCGCGUGUGUGAAGAAGGCCUUAUGGUUGUAAAGCACUUUAAGCGAGGAGGAGGCUACUUUAGUUAAUACCUAGAGAUAGUGGACGUUACUCGCAGAAUAAGCACCGGCUAACUCUGUGCCAGCCGCCGCCGUAA
rnacentral:rRNA from 1 species